rnacentral:SRP_RNA from 1 species
GCCGGGCGUGGUGGCUCAUGCCUGUAAUCCCAGCACUUUGGGAGGCUGAGGUGGGUGGAUCACCUGAGGUCAGGAGUUCGAGACCAGCCUGGCCAACAUGGUGAAACCCCGUCUCUA